rnacentral:rRNA from 1 species
AGCGAACGCUGGCGGCAGGCUUAACACAUGCAAGUCGAGCGGGCGUAGCAAUACGUCAGCGGCAGACGGGUGAGUAACGCGUGGGAACGUACCUUUUGGUUCGGAACAACACAGGGAAACUUGUGCUAAUACCGGAUAAGCCCUUACGGGGAAAGAUUUAUCGCCGAAAGAUCGGCCCGCGUCUGAUUAGCUAGUUGGUGUGGUAACGGCGCACCAAGGCGACGAUCAGUAGCUGGCUGAGAGGAUGAUCAGCCACAUUGGGACUGAGACACGGCCCAAACUCCUACGGGAGGCAGCAGUGGGGAAUAUUGGACAAUGGGCGCAAGCCUGAUCCAGCCAUGCCGCGUGAGUGAUGAAGGCCCUAGGGUUGUAAACUGCUUUUAUAUGGGAAGAUUAUGACGGUACCAUAUGAAUAAGGACCGGCUAACUACGUGCCAGCCGCCGCCGUAAU